rnacentral:lncRNA from 1 species
UCAAGCCAACCAUAAAAGGAUUCAAUUCAACCAUAAAAAUAAAAAAAGCUGCCAUCAGUCAUGUUCUUAAAACUUGAUAUUAAACAAUACACUGACUUAAACAAACUUGAAAAAAGCUGCCAUCAGUCAACCAUUUCAAUCAACACACUGUCCAAACUUGAUAUUAAACAAAGGUCAUAAAUAUUAAACAAAGUUCUUAAAAAUUAAACUUGGAUAUCUCAUGUCCCUACUGACUUCCAACUUAAUCUCUCAUGUUCUCCUUUGUGCUUGAAGUUGGUGGAUUGUUGCUUGAUGUAAGUAGGUUCUAUACAUUCUUGUAGCAGGAGGUGUGUUAUUUCUACUUGAUCCAUCUUGAUAUAUGACUUCUCCUGGAGUUGGCAUCUGUAUUUGACAUAACCAAGCACAAGUAUGGUUACAUAUGAAAAAUGACAAAUAAAAGUAACAUAAAUACUUGCAAUUUAAAAAAAGUUGUAACUCACAAAAACUAAUCCAGAGUUUUGUCCAUUCAUAUUAUCUAUUACAGCUCCCUCAGGACUAACAUAAACACCAAAUCCUGCUGGUACUUUAGCGCGGGUCUUUAUCCUCUUAACUUGCAACUUUGGUGUAGUAUUAGUCUGUAUAAAAGUAAAGAAAGAGAAGUGUAGUAUUAGUCU